rnacentral:tRNA from 1 species
GGGUGGUUAGCUCAGUGGUAGAGCGUCUGCCUUACAAGCAGAGGGUCACUGGUUCAAGUCCAGUACUACCCA